rnacentral:lncRNA from 1 species
AUAUAAAUACAUGACAUAUAACAUUGUUCCUCUUUCGCAUCGUUUCUUUUUCCUCUGCUAAUACCUCCAACGCUUGUACGUACAAUAAACUUAGCAGCAACUGCAUAUAUACCAAUGUGACCAACUUCAAUUCGACGUAACUGCAAGCACCUUCGAUACUAAUACAUUUAAAUGCCAAACUUUAUAUAGUACCAUUAAACCCCACCCUUAGAAACCGCCA